rnacentral:rRNA from 1 species
ACUAUGUUCCCUAGUAACGGCGAGUGAUUGUAGGCAGAGCUCAAGUGAAAUCGUGAGUCCUUUUUUGGCCUUACGAAUUGUAGCCUCUAGAGGCGUGACCAGUGGAGAGGCAGGUCUAAGUUUCUUGGAACAGAACUUCAGAGAGGGUGACAGUCCCGUCCUUUGUCCUGCUUUUUUUCCACGUACGGUGCGCUUUUAUUGAGUCGCGUUCGUUGGGAUUCGAGCGCAAAAUGUGUGAUAAGUUUCACAUAAAGCUAAAUAUUGGCGUGAGACCGAUAGCGAACAAGUACUGUGAAGGAAAGAUGAAAAGGACUUUGGAAAGAGAGUUAAAAGUGUCUGAAAUUGCUGAAAGGGAAGCGAUUGAAACUUUUGUCUUUCCUGGGGUGCCGCUGGUAUUGGGAUUCCAUCCUUUUCGGUAUCCGUUAUAGGUGCCGAAAAGGUUCUUACUGGGUCCUUUUACCGGUUCGAUCCCUAGGGGUUGGUCAGCAUCAGUGGGUUUGUUUUGGCCUGACGAUUCUCCCCGAGGAAGGUAGGCCUCUCGUGGGCUGUUAUAGCCUCUGGGUUGGUGUUCAGGUACCCGCUGAGGUGUGUUCUAUUGCGAGCGUUAGCUUCACUUUCGAGUACUGGCGCUCUGCGUUGCUGUCCUUAACGGUUUCAACCGACCCGUCUUGAAACACGGACCAAGGAGUCUAACAUAUGUGCGAGUAUGCGGGUUGUACCCCUGUAUGCACAAUGAAAGUGAGAGUAGGGAGAGGCUUGUUUGUUGCAUUCCUCGCACCUACGACCGACCACGAGCUCUGUGAGAGGUUUGAGUUGUAGCACAUCUGUUAGGACCCGAAAGAUGGUGAACUAUGCCUGAGUAGGGUGAAGUCAGGCGAAAGCCUGAUGGAAGCUCGUAGCGAUACUGACGUGCAAAUCGUUCGUCAAACUUGGGUAUAGGGGCGAAAGACUAAUCGAACCGUCUAGUAGCUGGUUUCUUCCGAAGUUUCUCUCAGGAUAGCUGGAGUUCUAUUAGUUUUAUCAGGUAAAGCGAAUGAUUAGAGGCCUCGGGGGCGCGUUGCCCUCGACCUAUUCUCAAACUUUAAAUGGGUAAGAUCCAGUGGUUACUUCAUUGAACUGCUGGGGUUAAUAUGAACUCCAAGUGGGCCAUUUUUGGUAAGCAGAACUGGCGAUGAGGGAUGCUCCUAACGCUUGGUUAAGGUGCCUAAAUACUCGCUCAUGAGACACCAUAAAAGGUGUUGGUUCAUUUUGACAGCAGGACGGUGGUCAUGGAAGUCGAAAUCCGCUAAGAAGUGUGUAACAACUUACCUGCCGAAUGAACCAGCCCUGAAAAUGGAUGGCGCUGCAGCGGGUUACCGAUACCAGGCCAUUAUCGCAAGUUUGUGAGCACUCGACUUUUGCGGUAAUAAGGGCG